GGCUAGGUAGCUUAGUUGGUAAAGCUCUCGUCUGGCAUACAAGAGUCCUUCGUUCGAGUUCGAGUUCCAGCCG
rnacentral:tRNA from 1 species